rnacentral:lncRNA from 1 species
GAUUUGAAUUUAAAACUCUAAAAUUUAAAUUUUAAAUUAGAAUUUAAAUUUUAACAAAUAUAAGGUCAAAUUUAAAUUAAAAAUUGAAUUAAAAAUUUUGAUUAUAAAUUUUGAAAGUAUAAAACUUAAUUACUAUUAAACUAGCAUCGAACUAAGAGCUAAUGUUUGAUAAUAACGUAAGAUAACUGAAACAUGAAUGGAAUUGGAUUGGUUUGGAACGGAAAAUAGGAUGGCGAAUCAUUCAAAAAUGUUUCGUUCAUUAUUGAAAUGAAAAUUAGAAUGAAAUCUAGAAUUUUGAAAAAGAGUUUGAUUAAGAGAGAGAAAAAUAAAAAGGGAAGAGGAGGGGGAGGUGUUUGUAAGAGAGAAUUUUAGAUAGUUUAUUUUAAAAUUGUCCAAUCUGAAAAUCGAAGUCAGAGUUAGGUUAUAAAUGGAUGUGGUCAUUUCUAUUCCAGAAUGGAAAAGAAAUUAAAAUCCGAUUCAUAUAAACCAAACAAGAAUUAUCGACAUCAAUAACUUUCAUUCAAAUUUCAUAGUCUAAAAAAGAACAUGCACGAAUAAUAUGACCCAUUAUAUCCGAAAGGCAUACGGGGGCAUAUGGAUUAUUUUUACACUUUUAAAUUAUUUGUUAAAAUUUUAAAAGGGCUAGUUAUGAAAUUUUCCUCAUAAUUCAGCAUUGCUUUUUUUUGAAAAGAGCACCAUACGGCAUUUAUUCCGUAUAAUAAGCAGUCACAGACUCCUCAAACUCUUCGAAAGAAGACCAACCAAAAACUAUCCGGGAAACAAGGCUCCAUUUAGCUAGUUUAUCAACACAUUGUGAAAAGAAACUAUAUCUAGAAGACCACGCGAUAAGAAUAUUAUUAUUGGACUCCAAAAGACGUCGAAGCGAAGCAAUAUGCUCUACUAGUUGCAGUGAAAAUGGAAUAUGCUGAUUCUUCUUGUACAAACAGAAACGAAUGAUAGUUAUCGAAUCUGUAUAAAUUGAACACUUGAUAAGCUG